UGUCAUAUACACGGGAUACGUGUUGUAUUGGGCCACUUAAUACAUCAUUAACCUUAAGGUAGCUCGCGUGCAAACUGCUUGUCUGUUGGUGUGUUGCACGUUAAAUUAAACAACAAGGCUAAGUAUGUAGAACUGUCUGUAGAGGAUUUGCGGACGGGGGUUCGAUUCCCCCCAGCUCCACCA
rnacentral:tmRNA from 1 species